rnacentral:tRNA from 1 species
GAAGCCGCUCAGUCGUUUCCAAAAAUUCUCCCGUAGAAGCAACGAUCUGCCGUCGCCUGGGAGACUAGGGGUCGGAGGUUCAAAUCCUCUCGCUCCG